ACGUCCAGUCUGGAUGUGUCUGGUCUCCAGUCACGGCACAGAGGCCGUUGUUAGAGGUUGUGUAGCGCUGUUCACAUCCUUCAUUAUCACUUUCCCUCUUUAGUAUACUUGCUUGAAGUCUCUUCAUCUUCUGUUCCUGUUGUCACUUUCAUCUUGUCAGGAUGGACGGUGAGCAGUUCAGAGCAGCGUCCAGGCAGAUGACUGAUUAUAUCGCAGACUAUCUCACCAACAUCAGAGAAAGGAGAGUGUUACCAGAAGUGGAACCUGGGUAUCUACGACCACUGUUGCCAGCACAAGCUCCUGACACCCCUGAUGAGUGGAGUGAUGUUAUGGCUGAUAUUGAGAGAGUCAUCAUGCCUGGGGUAU